CCUACGGGCGGCAGCAGUGGGGAAUAUUGCACAAUGGGGGCAACCCUGAUGCAGCGAUGCCGCGUGAGUGAAGAAGUCUCUCGGUAUGUAAAGCUCUAUCAGCAGGGAAGAAAAUGACGGUACCGGAUUAAGAAGCCCCGGCUAACUACGUGCCAGCAGCAGCGGUAAUACGGAGGGGGCAAGCGUUAUCCGGAUUUACUGGGUGUAAAGGGAGCGUAGACGGCAGCACAAGUCUGGAGUGAAAUGCCGGGGCUUAACCCCGGAACUGCUUUGGAAACUGUUCAGCUAGAGUGCAGUAGAGGGAGGUGGAAUUCCUGGUGUAGCGGUGAAAUGCGUAGCGAUUAGGAGGAACACCGGUGGCGAAGGCGGCUUACUGGACUAUAACUGACGUUGAGGCUCGAAAGCGUGGGGAGCAAACAGGAUUAGAUACCCGAGUAGUC
rnacentral:rRNA from 1 species